UCAAAAAUUCCCUCUACUCCAAAAUUUUGCCUCUUCAAACUCCAUCUAUCUCUUUUCCCCAAUCCAAAACCCUAAAUUCACCCUGAGGCAACCUCACAUAUGCACGCCACAUUCUCAACUCACUCAAAACCCCAAUGAACUCCUAUUUCCACAACACCAUGAUCCGUGCUUACUUCGACUCACCCGACCCAUUUCACUCCAUCUCCGUCUUCCUCCAUUGGCAUAACUCUCAAGACCCGUUUUCCUCUUCACGCGACCAGUUCACUUAUCCAUUUGUUCUCAAAGCAUUCUCCAAAUUGAAACAGAAAAGUUUUGGUAAACAUCUCCACGAGAUGGUUUACAAGUCCAGGUUUGAGUUCGACGAACCAGAUCCAGAGAGUUUCAUCCAGGCGACGAACCAGAUAUGGAGAAGAAACAACAGAGUUUCAUCGAGAUCCGACGAAGCUGGUUCGACGAACAAGAUCUGGAGAAGUUGAAGCUGGUUCCGGUGAUUUUGACGAGCCGGAGAAGUUGAAGGAUCGAGUUUGAAGAGGUUAAAAGGAAAAUGAUCCGACGAAGCUGGCUUUAAAAGCCCGACGCCUAACAUGGUUGAGGGAGUGGGAGCAGAAGAGUUCAUCUUCGGCAAACCAGAUCUGACGAAGCUGGUUCUAAAAGCCCUAUGGGCUGAACUGCAUAGCCAAUGCUUCGGUCAGGGAGUCAAUGAAUAAGAAUUUGGAGCUAUCACUGGUGGGGCACUCUUUAGGGAUGCUUUGUUGGUGGAAGAGAAGUCUUCAUCAAUGGCUAUUGCAAUAACCAAUAGCUGAACUGUAAAAAGUACUUGUGAUCUUUUUCAGCUGGACCAUGCAGAAGAAAACAAUCUAACUGGCCAACUGGAUUGCUAAUCAAUGUGAGGUUGCUAGCAGCAUAUUUUCAAGCAUCUUCAAUCACUUGGUAUUGGUGGUUGAUGUAGGUUGAGACAAAAGUCUAUUGCAGUAUUGGUGUUGCUGUUGCAGUUGGUGCAUCAUUUGUAGAUAGCAAUUGAUUAGAAGUUUAUGUAUUUAGUAUUUAAAGUGAAAAAAUUGCAGUUGGUGCAUCAUUUGUAGAUAGCAAUUGUUAAUAUUAUUAAUUUGGUUUUUAGGUUUGUUCA